UACGAAGGGUGCAAACGUUGCUCGGAAUUAUUGGGCGUAAAGCGCACGUAGGCGGCUUUGCAAGUCCCAUGUGAAAUCCCAGGGCUCAACCCUGGAACUGCCUUUGAUACUGUCGAUCUGGAGUAUGGAAGAGGUGAGUGGAAUUCCGAGUGUAGAGGUGAAAUUCGUAGAUAUUCGGAGGAACACCAGUGGCGAAGGCGGCUCACUGGUCCAUUACUGACGCUGAGGUGCGAAAGCGUGGGGAGCAAACAGG
rnacentral:rRNA from 1 species